UGGCCAUGUGAGUAAGUUCUCAUAAGUGAAAAUUUUAUAUGCUUUCGACUGGCUCCUCAGUAUUCUAUUGUUCUUUCUGUCUACUGGAACUCAGAUUAACUAAACCUCAAUCUUGCGGAUGAUAAGAACGUUUUAGGAAACUGUGGAGUCAUAGAAUGAAAGAAGCCUGGGUCACUGGAGCAGAGCUGACUCACCAAGCUAGAGCACUGACCUCGGAACCGUUAACAUGAGAAAAAAAAUGUCUUUGUUCUUUCAGCCACUGGAUUGUUGGGUCUCUUUGUUACAGAAGUCGGCAUCUUAUCCUAAGUAAAAAAAGGUGAAAAGAAUUGAAAAGUUGUGAAAGCCAGAAACUGGGAGGUGUUGAUUCCUAAUAAACAUCUUGCUCUUCAAUGUCCAUCUUCACAUCUGCUUCAGGAGACCCCAACCUGCAAUAAGACCUUAUCUCUGACACCUGGUGCUCUCCUGGUUUCUAUGCUAAGAACUGAAACCAAUAUUCUUGAUUAUGAGGAUCUGUUUGCUAACCGGGCUAAAGGGAAGUGAGUCAUGAGCACUGUGGUAAAAAGAAGUCCACAAACUCAGAAUGUAAAACUCAUGAUGGAAGCCACCACACAGAUCAUAAUACUCCAGCUCUUUCAUAAUACUAUUUGGAGUCUUCUCUCUUCUUGAUCAGUGUUUCCAGAGAUUUGCCUAUUUUAGUUAGCUUUUCUGAGAACUAACUUAAAGUUUUAUUGAUAGCUAUCAUAUCUUUGUUUUCCGUUGUAUUGAUUUCUGCUCUAACUUUUCUCUUUUAUUCUACUCUUUGGGUUUAUUCUGUUGUUCAUUGUUUAACUUCUAAAGAUGGAUACUUGGCUCAUUAAUUUUGCUGUUAACUCUUCUCUAGUAGAAGUAUUUAAAGCUAUGAAUGUCUCUCAAAGCAUCAUUUUUAUGUAGUGUUUUCAUUCCCCAUUCUGUAGGUGUGGGCUGUCCAUAGUGACUUCCAUUGACAGAGUACACUAUAGAAAGGGGGAAAAAGUACAACUUCACAGUGGAGAAACCUGACAAACACUACUUCAGCCAGGUGAACAAGGUCAACAUCAACAGUGUAAAUCAUAUUGAUGGUAGUUACCGUUGAGAUGAUGUGAUGGCAAUGGCACUUUACCUCUGCGGUCUCCCUCCCAAAAAACCACAACCCGAGUCUAAUCAUGAGAAGAACAUCAGACAAAUUCCGAUAGUGGGACAUCCUACAAAAUAUCUGGCCUGUACUCCUUAAAGUUGUCAAAGUCAGCAAAAUCAAAGGAAGUCUGAGAAACUGCUGCAGCCAAGAGGAGCUUAAGGAGACCUGACCGCUAAAUGUAAUGUGGUAUCCUGGAUGAGAUCCUGGAACAGAAAAAGGACAUUAGGGAAAAACUGAGACAAUCUGAAUAAAGCAUGAAGUUUAGAUAAUAAUAAUGUAUUAAGUGGUUUAUUAAUUGAGGAAAAUGUACCAUACUCAUGUAAGAAGUUACUAAUAAGGGAAAAUGGCUGUAGGGUAUAUGGGAAUUCUCUGUACUAUCUUCUUGUUAUCUCUGGAAAUCUAAAACUGUUUGUAUUCGUCAGGGUUCUCCAGAGAAUCAGAACCAAUAGGAGAUAUAUAGAUAUACAGAUAUAUAGAGAGAGAUUUAUUAUGGGAAUUGGCUCACACAGUUAUAGAGCCUGAGAAGUCCCAUGAUCUGCUGUAUGCAAGCUGGAGACCCAGGAAAGCUAUGGUGCUGGGGGCAAGAGGGUGCUGGUGUAAGUCCCUGAGUCCAAAGGCCCAAGAAUCAGGAGCUCUGAUGUCCAACAGCAGGAGAAGACGGAUGCCUCAGCUCAAGAAAAGAGGAGAAUUUGCCCUCCCUCUCUGCCUUUUUGUUCUAUUAUGGCCCUCAACCGGGUGGAUGAUGCCCACCCAUGUUCCUGAGGGCAAAUCUUCUUCACUCAGUCUACUGAUUCAAAUACUACUCUCUUCUGGAAACAUCCUCACAGAUACACCCAGAAAUAAUGUUUUACCAGCUAUGUGGGUAUGUCUUAGCUCAGCUAACUUGACACAUAGAAUGAAUCAUUACACUGUUGUUAAAAAAUAAUAUUAUUAAUAAAUAUCUGUGUAUAUUUUAUUGUCGGUUCUAAAUAUUUUUAAAUUUUCAUUAUUAUUCUCUCUUUAACUCAUGUGUUAUUCAAGUCUUAUUUUUUAUUUCCAAAUAUUUGAGAAUUUUUUUAUUCAUCUUUUUUAAAAUUAAUUUCUGCCUUAUUUGCAUUUUUGUCAAAGAUCGUAGUCAUAUAAUAUCUCUACAUCCAAAUUGUUGAGGCUUUCUUAUGGCUGAGUAUAUGAUCAAUUUUUAUGUUUUCUGGGG
rnacentral:lncRNA from 1 species